rnacentral:lncRNA from 1 species
UAAAAGAAGGGUUUGAGGAUUAAGAGGAUUAUAAUUAUUUGAUUACAAUUAUGUAUAUGGGAAUUUCUGAGGCAGUUCUGCUACUUUUAUCUAGAACUAUUCCCAGUUGUUUUAGUUUUGAUCCAUGUUUUAGCAAAUUGGAUUCAAACAACAGAUUAUGAUCUGACUCACUAGCCUACAUGGAUCAGCCAUUAUUUAAAUU